ensembl:lncRNA
AGCUACUUUGCUUUGGGAGUGCUGUCUGGCCAGACUAAUAAAGGUCUGUUUUACUUUCCAACUUGUCCGGUGUGUUCCUUCCCGGGUGUUCUUCGCUGCAGUCAGCUCCUCAGAGCGUUUGGUAAGGCCCUCGGUCUUACAACUUGAGUGAGAAAGAAGCUUAGGGAAAAAAACCCAGAGAAGAGAAAACACUGAGAGGUGAGAGGAACAAGGGAGAUGGUGGAGAAGGACCAACAUGCACAGCAACACAACUGGAACAGGAGAGCUGAGGGCCAGAGGGGCAGGAGUUGGCCGCUGCAGUCCGGUGACAAGAAACUCAGCUCAGGAAACCAACACGACUGAACCGAAGUGCAUCUAACAGUGAAAGGGCACUGUAUGUGGAAGGGCUCCACAUCGACCUCCCUCACGAUGUCCUAAGAUACCACGCUUCAUCCCCGGCCAAGGUGGAGUUCAGCCCCUCACCACAGCCUCAGAUCACAGACUGCACUUCCUGGUCAGACUGACCACCUAUGCUUCCCCCUGGGCCUUGGCCCAGCAGCUGAAAUGCCACUUCUGCUGAGAGCCUUUCACAGCUACUCCAUCCAGCAGCUGUCUGGGACCAUCCGUGUUUUCACUUCACUCACUCAUUUUCAGAGCACUUCUCACCACUGGUAAUGAUCAUUUAAUUGGCUUGUGCAUUAGAAUGAGGGUGACAAUGGUCCCGAUUCAGCAGUCUCCUCAAGUUGUUGAGCAUUAACUGAGGCAAUAGUGUGUGCACGCUACUGAAACAGUGCCUGGCUGCUAUCUUGGACCAAGUAAGAGCAGUGUUAUUAGAAGGGAGACUGGCAAAGUGGUCUGUAGGACUGGGCCCCCUAACAAAACAGAUUUAUGCUCUAAGGGGAGAAGGUGAACAUGCUCUUGGGUGCUGUACCAGCUGUCUUUGCUUCAGUCUGCAAACCAUGUAACAUGCUGCUGCAAUCCUGUGGUUAGAGAUUUUCCUCCCAAGUGUCAUUAAGCUAAAACUGAAGUUAAUCUCUCAUUCUCAUUUUAUAUGUAUGCAUGAACUAAAUCUAUAGGGUUGUUAUUUACCACAAAUCACACAGCCAGAAGUAGAGAGCCUCAGUUGGGUCUCAGUCUUUCUAGGUGGUGGUUAGGGAAGGAGGAGACACUCCUGGUGGAGCCUGCUUCCCUGAUGGGCACUAACAUGAGCUGACGGUGUGUUCUUGGGAGAGCCCAGAGCUUGCUCUACAGAUGAUCUGGGGCGAAGACAACAAGCAGCAGUGGUGAAUCCAGAUACUACGCCCUCUGUUCUUCAAGACUGCUGAGCUGUAUUUCUG